rnacentral:rRNA from 1 species
GCGCAGCAGUCGAGAAUAGUCUACAAUGGACGAAAGUCUGAUAGUGCGACGCCGUGUGUGCGAUUAAUUCCUUCGGGGAUGUAAAGCACUUUUCUAUGAGAUAAAAAGCUCUUUAGGUUAAUAGCUUAUUGAGACGGAUAUUAUUAUAGGAAUAAGCUCCGGCUAACUCCGUGCCAGCAGCCGCGGUAAUACGGAAGGAGACGAGCGUUGUCCGGAUUUACUAGGCGUAAAGGGCUAGUAGGCGACUAAUUAAGUUAUAUGUUAAAUCCCACGGCUCAACUGUGGUCCUGCAUGUAAUACUGGUUAGAUAGAGUAACUGUAGAGGAAGGCAGAAUUCCUGGAGUAGCGGUGGAAUGCGCAGAUA